rnacentral:rRNA from 1 species
CACGUAGGGCGCAAGCGUUGUCCGGAAUUAUUUGGGCGUAAAGAGCUCGUAGGCGGUUUGUCGCGUCUGCUGUGAAAACCCGAGGCUCAACCUCGGGCCUGCAGUGGGUACGGGCAGACUAGAGUGCGGUAGGGGAGAUUGGAAUUCCUGGUGUAGCGGUGGAAUGCGCAGAUAUCAGGAGGAACACCAAUGGCGAAGGCAGAUCUCUGGGCCGUAACUGACGCUGAGGAGCGAAAAGCAUGGGGAGCGAACAGG